UUUUUGCUGUGUCUGGAAGAAGAUGUGCCUCAAGAGCCUUCUGCAGGUAUUUGUGUUUGCCUGUUCUGCAUCUGUAGGUGUCUGGGCAGGAAGAAUUCUGUCAGAAUCUAUAUCAGCGAAAACUGCUGACACCCCUUUGGCCUAGCUGUCUGGGUAUAACGGAUAAUUGCCAGUAUGCCACUCUGUUCCAAAGCAAGAAGUCAGACAGGCGCAAAUACAGCCGUGCAUUCUUGCUUCAGUUCCGUUACUGUGAUGCUGCUUGUGAACGACCUGCAGACUUGGUCCUGCUAGAAGGUGUGACAGAUGCUGUACCAGAUCGUCCUGUACACAGGCCUAAGGAGCUUUCUGUAGUGAACAGCUCUGAUUCAGAACUGUUUUGUUCAAGGGAGCAAUUUCCUUCGUGCAGGUAUCCAGGCAAUAUUCAACAUGGCUUCAACCUGACCUCUGUCUACAGCACUCCUUCCUGCAAGAGGUCGUCCUGAGAUUACAACAUGCCAAUGGGAGCGGAGCC